rnacentral:lncRNA from 1 species
CUGAAUUUCAGGAGCAAGAUACGGGUGGGUAAUUUGUACUUGUGAGUCAUCAACGUAUACAUAGAACUUGAAAUCCUGGGCAUCAAAAAGAUGACCUGAAGAGAGUGUGAAGACUGAAAAAGAGGUGUGGACCUUAACAUCUAGGUGAUGGAAUUGAAAACAAGGCCGAGAAAAUGUGACCUUUGGAAAAAAAUCAGGAGUCUGAGAUGUCACAGAAGUCAAU